AUGGAAUACUUGGAAUUAGUAGAAUUCUCAAACUACGGAACCAACUGCUUUCGCACCGGGGGGGUGGGCGAGAUCCGGAGCAAGGACCCUAAGAAUCUGGAAGAUAUCUCGAGAAAAGGUUUUAGCACCGGUCUCUCAUAUAUGUACUCCAGUUUAUCCAAAGUAUCCCAAUGGUGUAAGACCGUCGACUAUUUGGGAAAAAGGAGGAAAAUCACUCCGAUCUCUGAUUUCGGAGAAAUAAGUGGCUCACGAGGAAUGGAGAGACAGAUUCUCUAUUUGAUCUCGAAGUCCUCAUAUAACACUUCUUCCAGUCGGAUCACUUGCUGGAAAAAUAUAAUGCUCACACAUGUUCCACACAGGCAAGGAAGCAUAGUAUUUAUGAUGAAAAUGAAUGGAAUACUCGGCGGAGUUGUCAUAUUCCUAUUAAUGAUUGUGACAUCUUUUAUAGGAUAUGUACCACCUUGGGGUCAGAUGAGCUUUUGGGGAGCAACAGUAAUUACAAGCUUAGCUAGCGCCAUACCAGUAGUAGGAGAUACCAUAGUGACUUGGCUUUGGGGUGGUUUCUCCGUGGACAAUGCCACCCUAAAUUGUUUUUUAGUCUCCAUCAUUUACUCGCCCUUGUUCUUCCUUUUGAUUUAA
rnacentral:rRNA from 1 species